AAGAAGGCAGCAUCUUUUUGCCGUCACCUGCCAAGGAGGAAACUGAGCCUGUGAAAUCAGAAGUUGAGCCUAGCCGAGAAGUCCGCAAGGAAACAGCCCCGAUCCCUUUUGUUGUCCAGCCUGGAUUCAACGCCCCUGCCGGCCAAGCUCGCGUUUUGCUGUACUUUGGAACCUCAACUGUCACCACCACUACUACGACAACAACCACUACUUCAAUAACCGCCAUUUGUCAAAGCACCACUGGUUACCCAGUAUGCGGAUCCCACGGCAAAUAAAUCUUUGAUGACGGUUCCUGUCUUAAUGCCCACCCUAAUGACGAAAUCCCGCGAAAUCCAGUUAAAUGGCGUAUUUACUAUGUUGUUAGUGCUGUAUGUUAUUUACGUAUUUCAUGCAUUCACUAAUAUCCAUUAAAAUUAUCUAUUAAUUCAACAAUACUGUUUGUUUAUGUGAAGCGGCGGAAAAUUUUAAAUAUACUAUGCAAGAGUUACC
rnacentral:misc_RNA from 1 species